rnacentral:siRNA from 1 species
CACUUGUUUGUCAGUUGCUGAUGC